rnacentral:rRNA from 1 species
UACGUAGGGUGCGAGCGUUGUCCGGAAUUAUUGGGCGUAAAGAGCUCGUAGGCGGUCUGUCGCGUCGGUCGUGAAAACCUGCAGCUUAACUGUGGGCUUGCGGUCGAUACGGGCAUGACUGGAGUUCGGCAGGGGAGACUGGAAUUCCUGGUGUAGCGGUGAAAUGCGCAGAUAUCAGGAGGAACACCGGUGGCGAAGGCGGGUCUCUGGGCAGUAACUGACGCUGAGGAGCGAAAGCGUGGGGAGCGAACAGG